GACGAACGCUGGCGGCGUGCUUAACACAUGCAAGUCGAACGAAGAGCGACGGAAGCUUGCUUCUAUCAAUCUUAGUGGCGAACGGGUGAGUAACGCGUAAUCAACCUGCCCUUCAGAGGGGGACAACAGUUGGAAACGACUGCUAAUACCGCAUACGAUCUAACCUCGGCAUCGAGGAUAGAUGAAAGGUGGCCUCUACAUGUAAGCUAUCACUGAAGGAGGGGAUUGCGUCUGAUUAGCUAGUUGGAGGGGUAACGGCCCACCAAGGCGAUGAUCAGUAGCCGGUCUGAGAGGAUGAACGGCCAAAUUGGGACUGAGACACGGCCCAGACUCCUACGGGAGGCAGCAGUGGGGAAUCUUCCGCAAUAGACGAAAGUCUGACGGAGCAACGCCGCGUGAGUGAUGACGGCCUUCGGGUUGUAAAGCUCUGUUAAUCGGGACGAAAGGCCUUCUUGCGAAUAGUGAGAAGGAUUGACGGUACCGGAAUAGAAAGCCACGGCUAACUACGUG
rnacentral:rRNA from 1 species